GACGAACGCUGGCGGCGUGCUUAACACAUGCAAGUCGAACGGAAAGGCCCUGCUUUUGUGGGGUGCUCGAGUGGCGAACGGGUGAGUAACACGUGAGUAACCUGCCCUUGACUUUGGGAUAACUUCAGGAAACUGGGGCUAAUACCGGAUAGGAGCUCCUGCUGCAUGGUGGGGGUUGGAAAGUUUCGGCGGUUGGGGAUGGACUCGCGGCUUAUCAGCUUGUUGGUGGGGUAGUGGCUUACCAAGGCUGUGACGGGUAGCCGGCCUGGGAGGGUGACCGGCGACAUUGGGACUGAGGUACGGCCCAGACUCCUACGGGAGGCAGCGGUGGGGAAUAUUGCACAAUGGGCGGAAGCCUGAGGCAGCAACGCCGCGUUCGGGAUGACGGCCUUCGGGUUGUAAACCGCUUUCGCCUGUGACGAAGCGUGAGUGACGGUAAUGGGUAAAGAAGCACCGGCUAACUACGUG
rnacentral:rRNA from 1 species